GACGAACCGUGCGAACGUUAUUCGGAGUCACUGGGCUUAAAGCGCGUGUAGGCGGCCCGGCACGUCCGUCGCUGAAAUCCCCCGGCUCAACCGGGGAAGUGGCGUGGAUACGACCGGGCUGGAGGGGGGUAGGGGGAGCCGGAACUUCCGGUGGAGCGGUGAAAUGCGUUGAGAUCGGAAGGAACGCCCGUGGCGAAAGCGGGCUCCUGGACCCCACCUGACGCUGAGACGCGAAAGCCAGGGGAGCGAACGGG
rnacentral:rRNA from 1 species